rnacentral:rRNA from 1 species
AGAGGAAGUAAAAGUCGUAACAAGGUUUCCGUAGGUGAACCUGCGGAAGGAUCAUUAUUGAAAUAAAUCUGAUGGGUUGCUGCUGGUUCUUUAAAGAGCAUGUGCACACUUGUCGUCUUUAUAUCUCCACCUGUGCACCUUUUGUAGACCUGGAUAUCUCUCUGAAUGCUAGCCAUUCAGGUUUGAGGAUUGAUCUUAUGAUCUUUCCUUACAUUUCCAGGCCUAUGUUUCUUCAUAUACCCCAAUGUAUGYCAUAGAAUGUAAUAAAAGGCCUUUGUGCCCAUAAACUAUACAACUUUCAGCAACGGAUCUCUUGGCUCUCGCAUCGAUGAAGAACGCAGCGAAAUGCGAUAAGUAAUGUGAAUUGCAGAAUUCAGUGAAUCAUCGAAUCUUUGAACGCACCUUGCGCUCCUUGGUAUUCCGAGGAGCAUGCCUGUUUGAGUGUCAUUAAUAUAUCAAUCUCUUCAACCUUUUGGUUGGCGAGUGUUGGAUGUGGGGGUCUUUUGCUGGUCUUGUCAGGUCAGCUCCCCUGAAAUACAUUAGCGGAACAAUYUUGUGGACCGUUCAUUGGUGUGAUAACUAUCUACGCUAUUGACGUGAAGCAGUUCAGCUUUCUAACAGUCCAUUGACUUGGACAAAUUUUUCAUUAAUGUGACCUCAAAUCAGGUAGGAUUACCCGCUGAACUUAAGCAUAUCAAUA